CUCAGAAGCCAUAUUCCUCUACUACUUUUAUUCUUGUUCAAGUGUACUAUGUUGUUCUCCUCCAUCUUAUUCACCUACCGACAUACAUGUUUUUUGUGUGUGUUAAAGCAAUAACAGUGACUGUUUGAUUAGUCUUUCUCUAAUUACAACCACGACGAAGACAACAACAACGUACUCAGUGCAUGCAGACCUUGUCAUUAUUUCGUGGAGGUAGAGAGACAGUUUCUGAUCAAAUCUUUCAUGUAUUGGGAC
rnacentral:lncRNA from 1 species